CGGUGCGCUGGUGGCGCUGGUCGCACCGGCGGCGCAGGCGGCGCUGUGGACCGCGUCGCUGCUGGGCGAACUGUGGAUCGUGGCCGCGUUCGCCGU
rnacentral:tRNA from 1 species